rnacentral:rRNA from 1 species
CAGCCGCCGCGGUAAUACGGAGGGUGCAAGCGUUAUCCGGAUUUACUGGGUUUAAAGGGUGCGUAGGUGGGUAGGUAAGUCAGUGGUGAAAUCUUCAAGCUUAACUUGGAAACUGCCAUUGAUACUAUUUAUCUUGAAUACUUUGGAGGUAAGCGGAAUAUGUCAUGUAGCGGUGAAAUGCUUAGAUAUGACAUAGAACACCAAUUGCGAAGGCAGCUUACUACACAGUUAUUGACACUGAGGCACGAAAGCGUGGGGAUCAAACAGGAUUAGAUACCCUGGUAGUCCACGCCCUAAACGAUGGAUACUCGACAUUAGCGAUACACAGUUAGUGUCUGAGCGAAAGCAUUAAGUAUCCCACCUGGGAAGUACGACCGCAAGGUUGAAACUUAAAGGAAUUGACGG